rnacentral:rRNA from 1 species
ACGAACGCUGGCGGCGUGCUUCACACAUGCCAGUCGAACGGAAAGGCCCUGCUUUUGUGGGGUUCUCGAGUGGCGAACGGGUGAUUAACACGUUAGUAACCUGCCCUUGACUUUGGGUUUACUUCAUGAAACUGGGGCUAAUACCGGAUAGGAGCUCCUUCUUCAUGGUGGUGGUUGGAAAGUUUCGGCGGUUGGGGAUGGACUGGCGGCUUAUCAGCUUGUUGGUGUGGUAGUGGCUUACCAAGGCUUUGACGGGUAGCCGGCCUGAGAGGGUGACCGGCCACAUUGGGACUGAGAGACGGCCCAGAGUCCUACGGGAGGCAGCAGUGGGGAAUAUUGCACAAUGGGAGGAAGCCUGAUGCAGCAACGCCGCGUGCGGGAUGACGGCCUUCGGGUUGUAAACCGAUUUAGCAUGUGACGAAGCGUGAGUGACGGUAAUGGGUAAAGAAGCACCGGCUAACUACGUG